rnacentral:rRNA from 1 species
AGUCGAACGAGAGAUGAGGAGCUUGCUCUUCAAAUCGAGUGGCGAACGGGUGAGUAACGCGUGAGGAACCUGCCUCAAAGAGGGGGACAACAGUUGGAAACGACUGCUAAUACCGCAUAAGCCCACGGCUCGGCAUCGAGCAGAGGGAAAAGGAGCAAUCCGCUUUGAGAUGGCCUCGCGUCCGAUUAGCUAGUUGGUGAGGUAAUGGCCCACCAAGGCGACGAUCGGUAGCCGGACUGAGAGGUUGAACGGCCACAUUGGGACUGAGACACGGCCCAGACUCCUACGGGAGGCAGCAGUGGGGAAUAUUGCACAAUGGGGGAAACCCUGAUGCAGCGACGCCGCGUGGAGGAAGAAGGUCUUCGGAUUGUAAACUCCUGUUGUUGAGGAAGAUAAUGACGGUACUCAACAAGGAAGUGACGGCUAACUACGUGCCAGCAGCCGCGGUAAAACGUAGGUCACAAGCGUUGUCCGGAAUUACUGGGUGUAAAGGGAGCGCAGGCGGGAGAACAAGUUGGAAGUGAAAUCCAUGGGCUCAACCCAUGAACUGCUUUCAAAACUGUUUUUCUUGAGUAGUGCAGAGGUAGGCGGAAUUCCCGGUGUAGCGGUGGAAUGCGUAGAUAUCGGGAGGAACACCAGUGGCGAAGGCGGCCUACUGGGCACCAACUGACGCUGAGGCUCGAAAGUGUGGGUAGCAAACAGGAUUAGAUACCCUGGUAGUCCACACCGUAAACGAUGAUUACUAGGUGUUGGAGGAUUGACCCCUUCAGUGCCGCAGUUAACACAAUAAGUAAUCCACCUGGGGAGUACGACCGCAAGGUUGAAACUCAAAGGAAUUGACGGGGG